GCGCGGCGUGGGUUCUGCGUACUGCGCGAUCCUCGGCGAGGCGGGGAUCCGGCACCUGGGGUCUAGGCAAGCUGCCGCCGCCAUGAGCGCCGUGGACCUUGCCCGGGUGGGCGCGUGUGUCGUGAAGCACGCGGUGACCGGGGAGCCGGUGGAGCUGCGCAGCCUGUGGCAGGAGCAGGCGUGCGUGGUGGCCGGGCUGCGGCGCUUCGGCUGUAUGGUGUGUCGCUGGAUCGCACGCGACCUCAGCGGCCUCCUCGGGCUCCUGGACCAACACGGCGUGCGCCUGGUGGGCGUGGGCCCCGAGGCCCUGGGCCUGCAGGAGUUCCUGGACGGCGGCUACUUCUCUGGCGAGCUCUACCUGGACGAGAGCAAGCAACUCUACAAGGAGCUGGGCUUCAAGCGGCCAAGGCUGUUGGUAUCCAGGGGAACCUGUCUGGGGACUUGCUGCAGAGUGGAGGGCUGCUGGUGGUCAGCAAAGGUGGUGAUAAAGUGCUGCUGCACUUCGUCCAGAAGUCCCCGGGUGACUAUGUCCCCCGGGAGAGCAUCCUGCAGGCCCUGGGCAUCUCCUCAGAGGUUGGCACUAGCGAGCCGCCCCAGUGUGACGAGGAGCUGUGUGGGAGGUGACAGCCCGGCCCCCGUGCACCUGGAAGGCGUCUGCUGCCCAGAGAAUGCUGGGUGCUCGACUGGAACAAGGGCCACGAUGCUGGGCCUUGCCUCAUUCUUGGGCAGCACUGAGCCAUUAAAACUGCUGUUCCUGGGUGCCACUUUUCUUCACUGGCCAUGCACUGUGGAUCCUACAGCUCCCACCUCAUCCACUGUUGGUCCCAAGGGGCGCCCUGGGGGUGCAAGAGGUCAUCAUCCCACCAUGAAGAAAACGAGGUUGUCACCUUUGAAGCGUUUAUUUGGCCCAGUCUGAAACUUGAAGACACUGAGGACAGGCAUGAGGGGCAGAAGACAGUUGACUGUGUCUCCGGGCUAUGGGUCCUCCAGCCCAGCAUCUAGGGCUCACAGUUCUGGACCAGGGACUGAGCCCUGAAGAACCUUGCCAUGCUCCAGGGGUGCCCAGAGACGGAGGGUACAGUGGUUUCCUCGCCACCCCAAGGUCAGGGCUUGGAAUCUCGGGUCACAGAGACAUUGUGGCUCUGGAGGCCUCCUGUGAUGGCCGAAGUUUCUACACCCAGGAGAGGGAGCACAUGGCCCUGGGACACAGGGCUGGGUCCCGAACGUGGUGGUAGGGCAGCCCCUCCCAGGGGUGGAGGUGGACUAGGGCCAGGAAGGGGAAAUGAGCACAGUCAGGGGACUCUGGGGGGCAGAAUCCAGUCUUUGUGCCCUUGUGUCCCCAUGCCCACAGCAGUUCUCUGCACAGGGCCUGGGCUGCAGCUCCCUGGGGACCCCUGCAUGCUGGCCCCUGUCCCCCUAAGCCAUGAAGAGGCUGGGGCACGUGUGGCUGCAGGUGCAGCUCUGAUCUGGGCCGCCCCCGGCACCCCUUUACCAUUGUCAUCAAAGCCAUGCGUGAUUUCAUGCCCGAUCACCAUCCCAAUGCCCCCGAAGUUCAAGGCCUGUGGCUGCUCCUUGCUGAAAAACGGUGGUUGGAGGAUCCCGGCGGGGAACACUGCCAAGGGGCAAAGAAUCAGCUGGGAGUGGGUGCACUUGUGUGCCUGGCUCAGGCAGGCCUCUCCAGGAGUCCAGUCAUCUAAUCUGGACUGGGGGUAGAUGGCAAGACCCCACCCCACAUACAGAUGGCAAAACUGAGGCCCAGAGGCCAAGAGGGCAGGCUAGCGUGUGGCAGCCCCGUGAGCCUCGUCCAGCUUCUUCCUACCCCUCUGUGCUGGCCUCAGGAACAGCUCCUCUGCUGUACUCGGUCCCUCCCCACAGGCACAGGAGGGCACCCAAGGGACGGGCAGUGGGGCAGCUGGCUCCAGGAGGGGUGGGGUGUGAGCCUACCGAUCUGGUUUCGGUUCGGGGAGUAGAACGCGUUGACCACUGCGGCCCCAAUGAUCCAGCUGCGGUGCAUACAGUGGUCACCUGGAGCCCGCACCUCCCGGGACACUCCCUCCAUGCCGCGCUGCCUGGUGUCGCAGUGGCCACUCCAGAGCAGGUCCUGUGCCAUUCCCAGUCUCUGGGGACCCCGUGGGAGGCGGCUCCAGCCCACGGAGGCAGAGGGUACGGGGGACUGUCACGGCCCCACACCCUCCCCAGCCAGCCACGAGGCUGCCCCUGCCACGCCGUUCACACCACUCACAGAUUCUGGUCCACCUUUUUCCGAAGC